CACAAAACAAGGUCCAGAUUACUCUCAUCCUAACUGUCUCUCCUGUCGGUUUUAGGUGUGGAUUCUCCGAGUGUGGUGACCCAGGAGCCAUCGUUCUCAGUGUCCCCUGGAGGGGCAGUCACAAUCACCCGCGGCUUGAGCUCUAGCUCAGUCUCUACCAGUUACUAUCCCGGCUCGUACCAGCAGACCCCAGGCCCGGCUCCACGCACGCUCAUCUACAGCACAAACACUCGCUCUUCUGGGGUCCCUGAUCGCUUCUCUGGCUCCAUCCUUGGGAACAAAGCUGCCCUCACCAUCACGGGGGCCCAGGCAGAUGAUGAAUCUGAUUAUUACUGUGUGCUGUAUAUGGGUAGUGGCAUUUCCACAGUGAUCUAAACCUAUGAGGAAGUGCAACUAAAACCUCUUUAUAUACUCAGAACAGUUCAGCCCUUACAGACAGGAGGGAAAGUGAGAGGGUGGAAAUGGUCAACACGACAGAGUUGGGAGGAAUUUCUAAAAGCAGAAGUUCUUAGGUGCCAGGUGUGCUGACUCAUGCCUAUAAUCACAAUACUUUGGGAGGCUGAAGCAAGAGGACUGCUUGAAUCCAGGAUGACACCAGUGUCUUCCACAUAGUGAGACUCCAUCACCACGAGAGGAAAAAAAAGAUGUAGGGUAUAUUUAGUGGUCCAUAUCAAUAUCUGUUACUGAAAACCAUCCCAUGGAGGACUGGCUUCCAGAAUCCCUUCUCCCGCCCACUGAGCUCACCUACCUGUGGCUCUGGCUCUCAGGGUCUUUGUAGGACACAGGGCUCAGCCUCUUAUCACAGAUUGUUCCACAGGAUCAUGGUUCCACUGAGAUCCUCUCAGCAUAGAUACGUACCUGUCCUGAACAGUGUCUCUUAACAUAAUGUUGGCAAGAUGGGAAGGACUGAGGGGUGACGGAGCCUUGGAGCCACCAGAAGAUGGCAGUAACCUCACUGCUGAGCUUUGCUGGGCCAGACUCAGGCUCCCACCCUCCUCCCUUCCUCUGACUCUUUUUCCUGGCCACCCGGGGUCCAGGAGCUUUUUCCACUCAAUCUGGGCUCAGGGGUCACCUCAGAGAACCUCUCAAGACAAAGGAGGUGUUUCAGGGGAUCUAACACAAGUGAGGGCAGAUUUUAAGACUGUCCAUGCACAGAAAAUCCUGUGAAAAGAAACAAACCAGCCCUACUUGUGUCUGUGCACCUGAGUCCUUAGGACUGUUUUCCUGAUCUCCUGGCUGAGUCAAGAUUGCAAAUGUGCGGUUCAUUAUCCAGAUCCAGAGAAAUCCAUGACAGUUUAUGAAGACAAAAGACGACAACUACCCUAUCUACUUGUCACACAAUGAAGACACUGGCCUUAGAUCUGUCAGUGCCCUGGAACAUUCUGGAAGAAGAGGGUGAAGGUUACUUGGCAUAUGUUGGGACUCAAACAUGAGGAUCUCAUGAUGACCCAGAGGGAUAAAGGUGGGAUCAGUUGUGAGGGUGGAAAAUGUGGAUUUCUUAAGGCCAUUUUGUUAAUCCUUUUCUCAUUGCAAAGGAUUUAAACUGAAAUGAACACGAUUUUUCUAAUAAAUGCUUAUGAGGCUUUCCAUUUAAUAUUUCCUGCCUUUAUGAAAAUAAAUAUAGAAAGUAAGAAAUAAAA
rnacentral:lncRNA from 1 species